rnacentral:lncRNA from 1 species
CCCAAACCCCUUCUGUGUAAUCCAACUGAAUUAGAGGAUUUUGAAGUGGAUUUAAAACUAAAUCUCGAUUAGGGAGAAUUUCUCUCCAAGAGCUGCUGCACGGUAGUAUUAAUGGGAAGUGAUCGUGGACAGAGGAAAUAGGACAGAAAUAACCGAGGGUAGCACACACGCACUCACGUCUGUGCAUGAACUGAAAGAAUCGGAGAAUUUCUCGAGAGGAAAAAGAAGAAAUUAAGCAUCGACAUAACAAGACUGGGUGCCACCAGCCUGGCUGGAGAAGCGGGGAGCGGCCAGAUUUCCGUUGCACCCUUUAUUCUGGUGGAGGGUUUUGCAGGUGAGAAGCAAGCAGCGUGCACGGCUGGGGGGAAGAGCCAGAGGAGAGGCGAUCGCUGCCCGCCGCCCCAGACACCAGUGUUUGUCCUCCGAGCUCCGGGUGGGCUCUGGGAGCCGCCCCCCAUGCUCUCAGGACACAUGCCUGGAGCUGCCCAUGGGAUCCUCUCUCUGAUAACCGUGGUGUUCGUCCUACCAGAGGCGUCCGCACUCCAGUGUUAUGGCUGUAACAUCAUCGUUGGCACCAAAAACGUGGACAGGGGGUGCUCUAACCCAGAGGUGAUCACCUGCUCCCACUCCCACCAGGGCUUCAAACACCGGUUCUGCAUUAAGACCGAGAGCGUGGUCCUGGGCAUCCUGCUGACGAGCGGCUGUGCCACCUCCCGUCACUGCCAGCAGCAGGAGCUGCCGGGGGUCCGCAUCCACUGCUGCGACACAGACCUCUGCAACGGCUCCCCCAGAGCCCCCCGGCCGCCCCCCGGCCUCGCUGGUGUCUGCCUCUUGCUGCCCUGUGUCCUCGCUACCCUGCUCCUCUCCUGAGGCCCCCCCAGGCCUGGGGGAGUGUGUGUGUGUGUGACCCUUGUGGAGGGGCCUGGGAGCAGGGAUACCCCCACCCCUGCUCUUACAGGUGGGCAGGACGCCCUCCUCUCCCCUCUGCUCAAUAAAAGGUGCUGGAUGCUUUGCUCUGG